rnacentral:rRNA from 1 species
UCCCCACCAGCUAGCCCGCCCAUUUAAAGACACCAAUUCAACAUCACUAACCCCCAACACACUAACUCAUAUUAAACAAAUCAUUUUUCCACCUAAGUAUGGGCGACAGAAAAGAACCCAGGAGCAAUAGAGAAAGUACCGCAAGGGAAAGCUGAAAGAGAAAUGAAACAACUAACAAAGGAAAAAGAAGCAGAGACUAAACCUCGUACCUUUUGCAUCAUGAGUUAGCCAGAACCCCUCAAGCAAAGUGAACUUUAGUUUGAAUCCCCGAAACUAAGUGAGCUACUCCAAGACAGCCUAUAUAGGGCGAACCCGUCUCUGUGGCAAAAGAGUGGGAAGAGCUUUGAGUAGAGGUGACAAACCUACCGAACUUAGCCAUAGCUGGUUGCCUAAGAACUGGAUACAAGUUCAGCCUUUUGAUUCCUUUCGUUAAAUCCGGCAAUGCCCAAGUCCAACCAAAAGAAAGUCAAAAGAGUUAGUCGAGGGGGGUACAGCCCCCUCGAAACAAGAUACAACUUUAUAUAGUAGGCAAAGGAUCAAAUCGCCCUAGGCAAUACAUUUCAGUGGGCCUAAAAGCAGCCACCAAAAUAGAAAGCGUUAAAGCUCAGACAUACCUUCCCCCAUUAUUACGACAAGAACAUCCUAAACCCCUUAAACUACUAGGCCAUUCCAUGCCCACAUGGAAGAGACCCUGCUAAUAUGAGUAAUAAGAGGGCUAGACCCUCUCCUGGCACCAGUGUAUAUCAGAACGAACCCCCACCGAAAACUAACGCCCUCAACUAAAGAGAGUACUGGAGAAAGCAACCUAAAACUAGAAAAACCUCCAACAAACUAAGCGUUAACCCUACACAGGUGUGCCCCAAGAAAGACUUAAAGGAAAAGAAGGAACUCGGCAAACACUAGCCUCGCCUGUUUACCAAAAACAUCGCCUCUUGCAUCCCCUGUAUAAGAGGUCACGCCUGCCCUGUGACUAUAAGUUUAACGGCCGCGGUAUUUUAACCGUGCGAAGGUAGCGCAAUAACUUGCCUUUUAAAUGAAGACCUGUAUGAAUGGCAUAACGAGGGCUAAGCUGUCUCCUUUUCCCAGUCAAUGAAAUUGAUCUGCCCGUGCAGAAGCGAGCAUAAUUACGUAAGACGAGAAGACCCUAUGGAGCUUUCAGACACCAGAACAGCCCACGUUAAGCAAUCCCCGACAAAGGAUCAAACCAAGUGACUACUGUUCCCCUGUCUUUGGUUGGGGCGACCGCGGGGAAAGAAACAACCCCCACGAGGAACGGGGAUACCCUCCCUUAAAAACAGAGCCCCAGCUCUAACAAACAGAACCUCUGACCAACAAGAUCCGGCACAGCCGAUCAACGGACCGAGUUACCCUAGGGAUAACAGCGCAAUCCCCUUUUAGAGCCCAUAUCGACAAGGGGGUUUACGACCUCGAUGUUGGAUCAGGACAUCCUAAUGGUGCAGCCGCUAUUAAGGGUUCGUUUGUUCAACGAUUAAAGUCCUACGUGAUCUGAGUUCAGACCGGAGAAAUCCAGGUCAGUUUCUAUCUACGAAACAUUCUUUUCUAGUACGAAAGGACCGAAAAGAAGGGGCCCCUGCCUCAGGCAAGCCCCCCCCCUCAUCUACUGACAAAAACUAAAGUAGACAAAAGGGAGUGUUUUUCUUGCCUGAGAAAAAGGCAU